rnacentral:lncRNA from 1 species
UUUAAAAUCUUUGAAUUAGCUGCUAAUUAUUAAUAUCUUUAUAGCCUACCUGAUUAUAAAAAGGUUAAAUUUACUGGACUGACUUCACUAUUAAUUCAUUUUUAUUCAUGUGCAAACAUGGCAUUACUUGUCCCUUUUUUCAUUCUGUUCUACCAUCAUGAGAUUUUUGUUUAUUUUUUGAGGUUGUUUACUUCCUUGAUCCGACAGCCAAUGUUGAUGUUCAAUAAUUAUCUUGAAGAAUUUCCAACAUGGCAGGG